GGUUUCCUCUGUCUGAUUCUCUCCAAUUUCUCUCUAUUUUACAGGAGAGGAUGUCAGGGAAACAGAUUCCUCCAGCCCACGCGGCACCGGUGGCCACAGGGGAAAGCAUCAUGUCCACACGUCCUUCAACUUCCACUAUAUCAGGGGCUACCACUACGGGAGGUUCAGUUCCGUCCCUGCUACUUCACAUCCCAUAUCAGCUGCGCCAGCAGUUUCGGCUGAUGUACCGUUAACAUCAUCUGCUGGGAAUGGGUUUUAGCACAAUCAGCGGCCAUGAGAACUCGGAAAACCCUUAGUAGCAUCUCCACCCAAGAAGAUUUCUCUGCCUUGUCUAGAUCGGGCUGCUGACCUCUUCAGUCCGGGUUGGUCUUAGCUUUUCAUUUGCCGCCAUCUGUUUAUAGUCUGUUGGUUAUUAAUUCACUCAUUUAUUAUGUUAAUAAAGGGGACCAGUGAUGGUCCAGUUUUUCCCAAACAUAA